UCCCUGGUGGCUCAGAUAGUAAAGUAUCUGUCUACAAUGCAGGAGACCCAGGUUCAGUCCCUGGGUUGGGAA
rnacentral:tRNA from 1 species